rnacentral:misc_RNA from 1 species
GAUGAAGAACGUAGCGAAAUGCGAUACGUAAUGUGAAUUGCAGAAUUCAGUGAAUCAUCGAAUCUUUGAACGCAUAUUGCGCUCUCUGGUAUUCCGGAGAGCAUGCUUGUUUGAGUAUCAGUAAACACCUCAACUUCCAUAUCUUUUUUGAAAUGGGAGUUGGACUUGAGUGAUCCCAACGCUUUUCCUCACCGAAGAGUGGCGGGUUACUUGAAAUGCAGGUGCAGCUGGACUUUUCUCUGAGCUAUAAGCAUAUCUAUUUAGUCUGCCUAAAAAACAGAUUAUUACCUUUGCUGCAGCUAACAUAAAGGAGAUUAGUUCUUGUGCUGACUGAUGCAGGAUUCACAAAGACAGGCUUCGGCCGACUUUGUAAACUCGAUCUCAAAUCAAGUAAGACUACCCGCUGAACUUAAGCAUAUCAAUAAGCGGAGGA